AUUGAACGCUGGCGGCAUGCUUUACACAUGCAAGUCGAACGGUAACAGGGUGCUUGCACCGCUGACGAGUGGCGAACGGGUGAGUAAUGCGUCGGAACGUGCCGAGUAGUGGGGGAUAACGCAGCGAAAGUUGUGCUAAUACCGCAUACGUACUGAGGUAGAAAGUGGGGGACCUUCGGGCCUCACGCUAUUCGAGCGGCCGACGUCUGAUUAGCGAGUAGGUGAGGUAAAGGCUCACCUAGGCGACGAUCAGUAGCGGUUCUGAGAGGAUGUUCCGCCACACUGGAACUGGGACACGGCCAAGACUCCUACGUGAGGCAGCAGUGGGGAAGUUUGGACAAUGGGCGAAAGCCUGAUCCAGCCAUGCCGCGUGUCUGAAGAAGGCCUUCGGGUUGUAAAGGACUUUUGUCAGGGAGGAAAUCCCUAGUGCUAAUAACACUGGGGGAUGACAGUACCUGAAGAAUAAGCACCGGCUAACUACGUGCCAGCCGCCGCAGUAA
rnacentral:rRNA from 1 species